GAGGAUAGGUGAUACUGCUAGACUAGAGUGAGAAAGAGGAAGGUAGAAUUCCGGGUGUAGUGGUGAAAUGCGUAGAUAUCCGGAGGAAUACCAGUGGCGAAGGCGGCCUUCUGGUUCUCAACUGACGCUGAGACGCGAAAGCGUGGGUAGCGAACGGGAUUAGAAACCCCGGUAGUCCACGCCGUAAACGAUGUACAUUAAACGUUCGCAUGCGUCUAGUAUGUGAGUGUUGAAGCAAACGCGAUAAAUGUACCGCCUGGGGAGUACGGUCGCAAGGCUAAAACUCAAAGGAAUUGACGGGGGCCCGCACAAGCAGCGGAGCGUGUGGUUUAAUUCGAGGCUACGCGAAGAACCUUACCUGGGUUUGACAUCAUGGUAGUACGGAAGCGAAAGCGGAAGGACUCUUCGGAGAGCCAUGACAGGUGCUGCAUGGUUGUCGUCAGCUCGUGCCGUGAGGUGUUCGGUUAAGUCCGCAAACGAGCGCAACCCUCGGUGCUAGUUAUAAGUGUCUAGCGCGACUGCCCGUGACAAACGGGAGGAAGGUGGGGAUGACGUCAAAUCAGCAUGGCCUUUAUAUCCAGGGCUACACACACGCUACAAUGGUCGGUACAAUGGGUCGCGAAGCAGUGAUGCGGAGCCAAUCCUCCAAAGCCGAUCUCAGUUCGGAUUGCAGGCUGCAACUCGCCUGCAUGAAGUCGGAGUUGCUAGUAACCGCGUAUCAGCACGGCGCGGUGAAUACGUUCCCGGGCCUUGUACACACCGCCCGUCACGUCAUGGGAGCUGGUCACGCCUAAAGUCGGGAAGCUAACCUAACGGAGGCUACUGCCUAGGGCAGGAUUGGUGACUGGGACGAAGUCGUAACAAGGUACCA
rnacentral:rRNA from 1 species